rnacentral:rRNA from 1 species
AUUGAACGCUGGCGGCAGGCUUAACACAUGCAAGUCGAGCGGAGAUGAGGUGCUUGCACCUUAUCUUAGCGGCGGACGGGUGAGUAAUGCUUAGGAAUCUGCCUAUUAGUGGGGGACAACAUUCCGAAAGGAAUGCUAAUACCGCAUACGCCCUACGGGGAAAGCAGGGGAGCUGCGGACCUUGCGCUAAUAGAUGAGACUAAGUCGGAUUAGCUAGUUGGUGGGGUAAAGGCCUACCAAGGCGACGAUCUGUAGCGGGUCUGAGAGGAUGAUCCGCCACACUGGGACUGAGACACGGCCCAGACUCCUACGGGAGGCAGCGGUGGGGAAUAUUGGACAAUGGGCGGAAGCCUGAUCCAGCCAUGCCGCGUGUGUGAAGAAGGCCUUUUGGUUGUAAAGCACUUUAAGCGAGGAGGAGGCUACCUGGAUUAAUACUCUAGGAUAGUGGACGUUACUCGCAGAAUAAGCACCGGCUAACUCUGUGCCAGCCGCCGCGGUAACAC